UAAGAGAGGGGUCUCUUCCCCAGCUUCAGAAUUUUCAUUUCUUCAAUUUCUUUCCUCUCUCAAGAACAGAAACCUUGCCCUAAUUCAAGCUCUCACUUCUCUCUAGAUUUCCAGCAUAUUCCACCGUUAGAGUUGUGAUUUGAUUGCAUAUUAUUGCUCCUGGAGUCAAGGGCUACGAAACCAUCCGAUUGGUUUCUCGUUUCGUCGGGUUCUGUUCAUUUUCGAACGUUGUAAGAGGGUACAUCUGUGAACUACGUUAAGCAUCCCACCAGAUGAGCAUGAGCCCACUUUGGAGGAUGUUUUGGAAGACCAAGACAACACUGAUGCUGCAGCUUAGUUUUUUUUUAGGAUUUAUAAUCUGUUGACCUUCUAUUUGAACAUAUGUAUCUAUUUUGAAAAUCUCUAGCAUUUUCCCACGUGUUUUGUUUAUUUAGUUUCCUCUAGAUUUCGGGAUUACUGUAAUUACAACCUAAUUAACUUUCCUACUCUUCAACUGCUCUCUUUUAUUAUCAAUGUGGACAUCUUGAUUUUAGACAUGUAUGGUAUAAAAUAGGGAUGUCACACAAUGAUUUGAAUUGGGAUGAAAGGAAAGGCUAGGGCAUGUAUCUAUUUUAAUUUUUAUAGUUUUUUUUUUUAUUUUUGGUUUUUAUAAAUAUACUUACCCUCUGUUCGUUUAAGCUGAUAAUACUGUUUACGAGAGAAUGGGAAUGCAGAUUUGUGGAAGGAACGGUGUUCGCAUUGGCUGAUUUGCGGAGACGGAUUGUGAGGGAUUUGCAAGAAAGUUGCUUUUUAA